AAGGGCACCACAAGAACGCGUGGAGCAUGUGGCUUAAUUUGACUCAACGCGGGAAAUCUUACCGGGUCCGGACACACUGAGGAUUGACAGGCGCUAAAUAGUUAUUUAUUAGAGAGUAGAUUCGUCUACUUUUUUUUAAAUAAUUAUUAUAAAUAUGCUAGUCCUUUCAUGAUUGUGUGAUAGGUGGUGCAUGGCCGUUCUUAGUUCGUGGAGUGAUCUGUCUGCUUAAUUGCGUUUCAGAAAAUGGUUCUUAGAGGUUUGUUAUAUAGCGUGACCAAAUUUAUGAAUAUAUUUUUGUUUUAUAUUUUCUUUCGAGAAUUAUAAAACAAUAUAUAUCUCAUUAUUUGUUGUUCCUAUAUUUUACAGCCCUUGUAACCUUGAAGGCAACGAACGUGACCGCAACCUCUUGUUGCCUCUCUUUCAUCUUUUGAUGAACUGUUGCCUCGUGAAUUUUUUAAAUUUCUAUUAUUAUUUUAUAUUUUGUACUUUUAAUAUUCUUUUUUUUAUUUUUUGUAAAAAAAAGGGUAUUAAAAUGCAUUUAUAAAAUAUAGUAGAAACAUUUAAAUGUCAUGUGGAUUAAACAGAGUGGAGCGCAAACUAGAGGGACCGCCGACCUUUUUAAAACGGAGGAAGGUUGCGGCAAUAACAGGUCUGUGAUGCCCUUAGAUGUUCCGGGCUGCACACGUGCUACAAUGAUUGUUGCAGUGAGCAUCUUAAAAGUUCAUAUUUUUUUUUAUUCAGGGGUGCUUUCGGGUAUUCUUGGAUUAAAAUUUUAUAUGACACACCUACUUCGAAAGUAGGUAGGUAAUCAAUUCGAAGUAACGAUUUCCUUUGCACAAUAAACUUCUUAAAAUUUUAUUUUUGUUGGUUAUGUUUUUCGGAAUGUAAUCAUAAAAAUAGUUUUAGGAUGUGCUCUAUUAAAUUCAUGGUGGGGACAGACCAUUGCAAUUGUUGGUCUCGGUCUUAACUAGGAAUGCCUUGUACGGGUCAUGGUUCAACAGACCACCCGGAAUAUGUCCCUGCCCUUUGUACACACCGCCCGUCGCUCUUACCGAUGGACUUCUCUGUGAGUUUGAGGGACUGGCUUUUUUGCUAUGGAAACUUAAACGAACAGUGUGGUCCAAAGGAAAGAGAAGUCGAACAAGGCA
rnacentral:rRNA from 1 species